rnacentral:rRNA from 1 species
UGGGGAAUAUUGCACAAUGGGCGCAAGCCUGAUGCAGCCAUGCCGCGUGUAUGAAGAAGGCCUUCGGGUUGUAAAGUACUUUCAGUCGGGAGGAAGGUGGUAAGGUUAAUAACCUUAUCCAUUGACGUUACCGACAGAAGAAGCACCGGCUAACUCCGUGCCAGCAGCCGCGGUAAUACGGAGGGUGCAAGCGUUAAUCGGAAUUACUGGGCGUAAAGCGCACGCAGGCGGUUGAUUGAGUCAGAAGUGAAAUCACCGGGCUUAACCCGGGAAUUGCAUCUGAUACUGGUCAGCUAGAGUGGUGUAGAGGGGGGUAGAAUUCCAUGUGUAGCGGGGAAAUGCGUAGAGAUGUGGAGGAAUACCGGUGGCGAAGGCGGCCCCCUGGACAAAGACUGACGCUCAGGUGCGAAAGCGUGGGGAGCAAACAGG